GUAAGCUACUAAGAGCGAAUGGUGGAUGCCUUGACUGGUAAAGGCGAUGAAGGACGUACUAGACUGCGAUAAGCUACGGGGAGCUGUCAAGAAGCUUUGAUCCGUAGAUUUCCGAAUGGGUCAACCCAAUGUAUAGAGAUAUACAUUACCUAUAUAGGAGCGAACGAGGGGAAAUUGAAACAUCUUAGUACCCUCAGGAAAAGAAAUCAAUAGAGAUUGCGUCAGUAGCGGCGAGCGAAAGCGCAAGAGGGCAAACCCAGUGCUUGCACUGGGGGUUGUAGGACUGCAAUGUGCAAGAGGUAAGUUUAGCAGAACAUUCUGGAAAGUAUAACCAUAGAGGGUGAUAGUCCCGUAUGCGAAAAACAAACCUUAGCUAGCAGUAUCCUGAGUAGGGCGGGACACGAGGAAUCCUGUCUGAAUCCGGGUCGACCACGAUCCAACCCUAAAUACUAAUACCAGAUCGAUAGUGCACAAGUACCGUGAGGGAAAGGUGAAAAGAACUGAGGUGAUCAGAGUGAAAUAGAACCUGAAACCAUUUGCUUACAAUCAUUCAGAGCCCUAUGUAGCAAUACAGGGUGAUGGACUGCCUUUUGCCAUAAUGAGCCUGCGAGUUGUGGUGUCUGGCAAGGUUAAGCAAACGCCGAAGCCGUAGCGAAAGCGAGUCUGAAUAGGGCGCUUAGUCAGAUGCUGCAGACCCGAAACGAAGUGAUCUAUCCAUGAGCAAGUUGAAGCUAGUGUAAGAACUAGUGGAGGACUGAACCCAUAGGCGUUGAAAAGCCCCGGGAUGACUUGUGGAUAGGGGUGAAAGGCCAAUCAAACUUCGUGAUAGCUGGUUCUCUCCGAAAUAUAUUUAGGUAUAGCGUUGUGUCGUAAUAUAAGGGGGUAGAGCACUGAAUGGGCUAGGGCAUACACCAAUGUACCAAACCCUAUCAAACUCCGAAUACCUUAUAUGUAAUCACAGCAGUCAGGCGGCGAGUGAUAAAAUCCGUCGUCAAGAGGGAAACAACCCAGACUACCAGCUAAGGUCCCUAAAUCUUACUUAAGUGGAAAACGAUGUGAAGUUACUUAAACAACCAGGAGGUUGGCUUAGAAGCAGCCAUCCUUUAAAGAAAGCGUAAUAGCUCACUGGUCUAGUGAUUUUGCGCGGAAAAUAUAACGGGGCUAAAGUAAGUACCGAAGCUGUAGACUUAGUUUACUAAGUGGUAGGAGAGCGUUCUAUUUGCGUCGAAGGUAUACCGGUAAGGAGUGCUGGAGCGAAUAGAAGUGAGCAUGCAGGCAUGAGUAGCGAUAAUUAAUGUGAGAAUCAUUAACGCCGUAAACCCAAGGUUUCCUACGCGAUGCUCGUCAUCGUAGGGUUAGUCGGGUCCUAAGUCGAGUCCGAAAGGGGUAGACGAUGGCAAAUUGGUUAAUAUUCCAAUACCAACAUUAGUGUGCGAUGGAAGGACGCUUAGGGCUAAGGGGGCUAGCGGAUGGAAGUGCUAGUCUAAGGUCGUAGGAGGUUGUACAGGCAAAUCCGUAUAACAAUACUCCGAGAACUGAAAGGCUUUUUGAAGUCUUCGGAUGGAUAGAAGAACCCCUGAUGCCGUCGAGCCAAGAAAAGUUUCUAAGUUUAGCUAAUGUUGCCCGUACCGUAAACCGACACAGGUGGGUGGGAUGAGUAUUCUAAGGCGCGUGGAAGAACUCUCUUUAAGGAACUCUGCAAAAUAGCACCGUAUCUUCGGUAUAAGGUGUGGUUAGCUUUGUAUUAGGAUUUACUCCGAAAGCAAGGAAACUUACAACAAAGAGUCCCUCCCGACUGUUUACCAAAAACACAGCACUCUGCUAACUCGUAAGAGGAUGUAUAGGGUGUGACGCCUGCCCGGUGCUCGAAGGUUAAUUGAUGGGGUUAGCAUUAGCGAAGCUCUUGAUCGAAGCCCGAGUAAACGGCGGCCGUAACUAUAACGGUCCUAAGGUAGCGAAAUUCCUUGUCGGUUAAAUACCGACCUGCAUGAAUGGCGUAACGAGAUGGGAGCUGUCUCAAAGAGGGAUCCAGUGAAAUUGUAGUGGAGGUGAAAAUUCCUCCUACCCGCGGCAAGACGGAAAGACCCCGUGGACCUUUACUACAGCUUGACACUGCUACUUGGAUAAGAAUGUGCAGGAUAGGUGGGAGGCUUUGAGUAUAUGACGCCAGUUGUAUAUGAGCCAUUGUUGAGAUACCACUCUUUCUUAUUUGGGUAGCUAACCAGCUUGAGUUAUCCUCAAGUGGGACAAUGUCUGGUGGGUAGUUUGACUGGGGCGGUCGCCUCCCAAAUAAUAACGGAGGCUUACAAAGGUUGGCUCAGAACGGUUGGAAAUCGUUCGUAGAGUAUAAAGGUAUAAGCCAGCUUAACUGCAAGACAUACAAGUCAAGCAGAGACGAAAGUCGGUCUUAGUGAUCCGGUGGUUCUGUGUGGAAGGGCCAUCGCUCAAAGGAUAAAAGGUACCCCGGGGAUAACAGGCUGAUCUCCCCCAAGAGCUCACAUCGACGGGGAGGUUUGGCACCUCGAUGUCGGCUCAUCGCAUCCUGGGGCUGGAGCAGGUCCCAAGGGUAUGGCUGUUCGCCAUUUAAAGCGGUACGCGAGCUGGGUUCAGAACGUCGUGAGACAGUUCGGUCCCUAUCUGCCGUGGGCGUAAGAAGAUUGAAGAGAUUUGACCCUAGUACGAGAGGACCGGGUUGAACAAACCACUGGUGUAGCUGUUGUUCUGCCAAGAGCAUCGCAGCGUAGCUAAGUUUGGAAAGGAUAAACGCUGAAAGCAUCUAAGCGUGAAGCCAACUCUAAGAUGAAUCUUCUCUAAGCUCUCUAGAAGACUACUAGUUUGAUAGGCUGGGUGUGUAAUGGAUGAAAGUCCUUUAGCUGACCAGUACUAAUAGAGCGUUUGGCUUAUCUUU
rnacentral:rRNA from 1 species